GACGAACGCUGGCGGCGUGCUUAACACAUGCAAGUCGAACGGAAAGGCCCCUUUGGGGGUGCUCGAGUGGCGAACGGGUGAAUAACACGUGAGUAACCUGCCCUUGACUUCGGGAUAACUUCAGGAAACUGGGGCUAAUACCGGAUAGGAAUCCUUGCUGCAUGGUGGGGGUUGGAAAGCUUCGGCGGUUUUGUAUGGAGUCGCGGCUUAUCAGCUUGUUGGUGGGGUAGUGGCUUACCAAGGCGGUGACGGGUAGCGGGCCUGAGAGGGCGACCGGCCACAUUGGGAAUGAGAUCCGGCCCAGACUCCUACGGGAGGUAGCAGUGGGGAAUAUUGCACAAUGGGCGGAAGCCUGAUGCAGAAACGCCGCGUGCGGGAUGACGGCCUUCGGGUUGUAAACCGCUUUCAGCAGGGGCGAAGCUUGUGGUGACGGUACCUGCAGAAGAAGCACCGGCUAACUACGUG
rnacentral:rRNA from 1 species